rnacentral:tRNA from 1 species
GCCUGGCUGGCUCAGUCAGUAGAGUAUGCAACUCUUGAUUUCCAGGUUGUGAGUUCAAGCCCCAUGUUGGGCA